rnacentral:piRNA from 2 species
UACAAAUAGGAUGGUGUUCUUGAUAGUU